rnacentral:lncRNA from 1 species
AGGAUUCCAAAGUUGCUAGUGGUGGAGAGUCUGGUGUCUCUUAUAUAGUGAGUGAUCUUGAGGGCUACAAAAUAGAGAAAAAUAUUGGGGUUGAUAAUAUUGAGACUGUGAGGGUGAAGUCAUUGUUGCUGUUAGACAGGGAAAAUAUGAUUAAAAAAAAGGUGUUAUGAUUGAUGAAUUUAGCGAGACGACAAUUCUUGGUGACCCACAAUUGAACCUGGUUUAUCUAUUGGGAUCAGCAAAGUUCGUGCAUCUAGUGAA